rnacentral:rRNA from 1 species
UACAGAGGUGGCAAGCGUUGUUCGGAAUUACUGGGCGUAAAGGGCGCGUAGGCGGCCAUCUAAGUCAGACGUGAAAUCCCCCGGCUUAACCUGGGAACUGCGUCUGAUACUGGAAGGCUCGAGUUUGGGAGAGGGAUGCAGAAUUCCAGGUGUAGCGGUGAAAUGCGUAGAUAUCUGGAGGAACACCGGUGGCGAAGGCGACAUCCUGGACCGGUAUUGACGCUGAGGCGCGAAAGCCAGGGGAGCAAACGGG